rnacentral:tRNA from 1 species
UCCCUGGUGGCUCAGUGGUAGAGAAUCUGCCUGCAAUGCAGGAGACCCAGGUUCGAUCCCUGGGUUGGGAA